rnacentral:lncRNA from 1 species
CUCACCACAGCCAUAACAGGCUCGGUUUUCUUCAGCUCCGAGGACUUGGGAGAUCGGUUGAGCCGGUGCCCUGCAGUAACGGACUGUGUGUCCCUUUUUGUGGCAGUUCAGACACUGCAUUUCUCGGCACACUCCAGUGUGGUGAAAGUUGCACUUUCCACACUUUGGAAGGUUUCCAGCAUAACGACUGGCAGAUGCUGAAGCAGUAGGCGUCGUAGCGGCGUACAUAGUACUCGCUUGUUGCUCUUGUGGGAUGUCUUGUGUUGUUCGCUUCUUCUUUCUCUUGUUCUCCGACUCUUGAUUAUAGUCCUCUUCCCUUGAUGACUCGGGAAUAGGGACUUUUACGCUGUGGCGGACUCCAUGAUCGAUGAGUCGUUGAGCCAAGCGUUUAGCACUAUCGAACGUGGCUGGGUUAGAAGACAACACAUUUCCUUGGGUCGAAGCAGUCAGACCCCAAAUGUAUCUCUCUAUCUUCUUUUUUUCCGAGGUAAACCUCCCCGGGGCAUAGAGCUGCCAGUUCGCUGAACCGGUCCGUGUAGGUCACUAUGUCUGAGCCGACCAUAGUGAGAUCCCACAGCUCUUGUUCCGGUUUUUGAAUCUCGCCUAACGGGCAAUAUUCUUCCCGCAUUAACUCCUUUAGGUUUUCCCAACCUAUGGAGUUUGCCACUGAUAGGGUCAGUGACUUAACAUGGCUGUUCCACCAUGUUAGGGCCUUGCCAUAGAAGAUGCAGGCAGCAAACUUCACUUUGCUUCCUUCGGGGCAUAAAUAGAUUUCGAAGACCGAAUCUGUUUUCUCGAACCAUUGUAGGAGGGCAAUGACUCCUUCAGUCCCUUUAAAGGAUAGUGGUUGGCAUCUGGUGAAGUCCUUGUAGGAGAACUCUCCCUGGCGCACAGGGACCUCACCAUGAGUAGAAUCGGUAGGCGCUUCGCCUGCACCUGUACUGGUGGAGUGAUAUUGUGCCAUGGUUGUUGCCACAGCCGCAGCCACUGCAGCGUUCAGAGUUGCUGCAUCGAUUUGUGGAGAAGGUAUGGGAGUUAUCGAAGUAGCGUGUCUGGGUGAUCUGCGAGGAGGCAUCUUUGCUAAAAGAAAACAAAGAUGAGACGGAAUAAGUCUAUAGCAACGGACACAAGUCGAAAGCUGAAAAGACAAAGUUAUCCUAGUUCUAGAUGUAUUGUGUCCUUACUUCCAUAGGGUUCUAGGAACAAUUCAUAAAUGAGUCUAUACCUAAUAAACUCUAUGAAUUUGAAAUAACUAUCCUCGAAUGAAUAUCUGUUUCCUGAAUAACUAUUACCAGAUGUAUGUAUGAAAAUAAUUCUAACACAUGAAAUGUGAGCAGUGUUUCCACUCGCUCGCUAAAUUAACCUAGUUAAUAUUUAUUAGUGUGACGCGUAAGACGUUUUUGGUUACUUCGGCUGAUAUUUCCUUGAAAUCUUCUCAUUGGUUUGUCCUUGUUCCUCCUGAACUCUUCUGUUGUCUACUAUGAGGAAGUCGUUACGUUUAUUUGGGCUUGUCGUGUGAGAAUGAAAGUGACUAAAGAACCUAUGAGCUUUAAGGUAACUUUAUGGGGUGAUCCUUACGGAAUCUUCCUAUAAUUAUACUAGGUAUACCAAUUGGUAUUGUAUAUAAUUAAAGAUCAAAUAGACCUUCGAACAAUUGAUCCCACCUCAACACUACUUCCUUAAAAGGAAUGGAUAGCGAAGCGUCGGUCACAGAUUCUAUGUCUAUAAGAUCUUGAUUAUAUAUAAAACUUUAUGAAUAUACCCUGUAAGAUUAUAGACCUAUCCGCAAGGGUCUUUUAAGUUAUCACAUAAGUUAUGUAUCUAGACUAAAAUACUCCUAUAGUAUCCUAACGUAAUGUACUUGUUAUGUUCUAACCUUGUUAUCGCGCUAUCGUAUCAUAGAAUACUCCCAUAGUACUCUAACACUAACUGUACUUGUCCUGGCGUUCUCUUGACUGGUGUUCUGCUAAGUUUUAACCCUGUUGGAAACUCACUAUUAUACUUUUACAAUAAAUGGUUUUCAAAGAUGAAAAUGAUAUGUUUCUUAAAGGUUUUCACUUACAACGUAUUUCUGGAAAAUAUAGGAUUUUCUAGGAUUUUUUACCACUUAUGAUUGUAAAGUUGCAGCUUUUCAUACUAUCGGUUAUAAUGCUUUUAUACAAAAACUCACACUAAAUUCUUAUGAACUCACCAACUUUAUGCUGAUAUUCGUUUUCAAAAUAACUUGUAUCCUCAGGUCAAAGAUAGACAGGUACAAGUGCGGCAUUUUGGAGAAGGUGGAGCAUACAAGAUCCAUCUCUUAUUUUUGUAAUACUUUUGGUACUUGUUAAACAUUAUAAAACACACUUGUAAUUAAACUCGCUAUGUAAUGCAAUGGUUGUAUGUUUCUUGUUUUUACUAUUAUGCAACUGUGAUGGUACUGUACAUGACGUCCUCCACCCCGAAACGUAUUCCGCCGUUAUCAGUUUUGGGGUGUGACACUCUGCCUCAAAUCCUCAACCAAUUAAGGAAAGGGGACCUAAGCAGAGUCGCUCACUCUAGGUCUGCAACAUCUCAGUUGCGCACAACCCUGAUGUAUAUGGUGAGUCAUAAUAGCUUCUCUAAGGGAUCUUUUAAUUCUCUUGAAUAUUACGACCUAUUUCAACAUGUGAGUUGUUAUAGUUACUUUUAAGUGUCAUCCCCAAAUUUUAAUCUUAUAUGAAUAUAAAUUAAUUUUUAAAAGUAAGUACUAUUUUGAAAACGUACCACUACUCGACGACGACUCCGAGGUAGAUUCUCCUGUGGUGAUCAUCAAAAUACGUCCAUCCGCGCCUGAGUUCUUGAUUAUUGGGCAGUCCCUCUUAAUGUGUCCAUUCUCACCACAGCCAUAACAGGCUCGGUUUUCUUCAGCUCCGAGGACUUGGGAGAUCGGUUGAGCCGGUGCCCUGCAGUAACGGACUGUGUGUCCCUUUUUGUGGCAGUUCAGACACUGCAUUUCUCGGCACACUCCAGUGUGGUGAAAGUUGCACUUUCCACACUUUGGAAGGUUUCCAGCAUAACGACUGGCAGAUGCUGAAGCAGUAGGCGUCGUAGCGGCGUACAUAGUACUCGCUUGUUGUUCUUGUGUGACUUGUGUUGUUCGCUUCUUCUUUCUCUUGUUCUCCGACUCUUGAUUAUAGUCCUCUUCCCUUGAUGACUCGGGAAUAGGGACUUUUACGCUGUGGCGGACUCCAUGAUCGAUGAGUCGUUGAGCCAAGCGUUUAGCACUAUCGAACGUGGCUGGGUUAGAAGACAACACAUUUCCUUGGGUCGGAGCAGUCAGACCCCAAAUGUA